GACGAACGCUGGCGGCGUGCUUAACACAUGCAAGUCGAACGGAAAGGCCCUGCUUUUGUGGGGUGCUCGAGUGGCGAACGGGUGAGUAACACGUGAGUAACCUGCCCUUGACUUUGGGAUAACUUCAGGAAACUGGGGCUAAUACCGGAUAGGAGCUCCUGCUGCAUGGUGGGGGUUGGAAAGUUUCGGCGGUUGGGGAUGGACUCGCGGCUUAUCAGCUUGUUGGUGGGGUAGUGGCUUACCAAGGCUUCGACGGGUAGCCGGCCUGAGAGGGUGACCGGCCACAUUGGGACUGAGAUACGGCCCAGACUCCUACGGGAGGCAGCAGUGGGGAAUAUUGCACAAUGGGCGGAAGCCUGAUGCAGCAACGCCGCGUGCGGGAUGACGGCCUUCGGGUGGUAAACCGCUUUCGCCUGUGACGAAGCGUGAGUGACGGUAAUGGGUAAAGAAGCACCGGCUAACUACGU
rnacentral:rRNA from 1 species